UGGCGAAGAGGUCACACCCGUUCCCAUUCCGAACACGGAAGUUAAGCUCUUCAGCGCCGAUGGUAGUUGGGGGUCUCCCCCUGUGAGAGUAGGACAUUGCCAGGC
rnacentral:rRNA from 1 species